rnacentral:sRNA from 1 species
AAAAAUGUGACAAAUUAGACCCUUGUUACUAUUAAUAUAUUAGUUUGCAUAUGUUAUACUUGCAUUGAAUUUUGUUUAAGGAAUUGAAUGAAAUGUUAAAUUUACUGCUUUAUUUUCUGCAAAUAUUAUUAUAAAUGAAGUUGUUUUUAAAAUAAAAGAUACAUGUACCUGCCCUAUAUGGCAUAAAAUUUGAGUACAAUUUUAUGAGAAAGUUUAUACAGAUAUUUGUUAUACUGUGUAUAUGAAACUGAAACUAUUUUAUCUCUGUGAUAUCACUACAAUGUUUAUUUAAUUAAAUGAUUUGAUGAAAUAUAAAUAUUUCGAAAACAUU